rnacentral:tRNA from 1 species
GGCCGCUUGGUCUAGUAGUAUGAUUCCUGUUUUGGGAGACUUACGUAAGAGUGCUUACGCAUUCCUGAGUUACAGGAGGUCGUGGGUUCAAUUCCCACAGCGGCCC